AAAAAGUAGUUUAAAAAAAACACUAACUUUGGGAGUUAGAAUUCAAAAAAUUUUGCUUUUUGAA
rnacentral:tRNA from 1 species